AUUGAACGCUGGCGGCAGGCCUAACACAUGCAAGUCGAGCGGAUGAAGGGAGCUUGCUCCUGGAUUCAGCGGCGGACGGGUGAGUAAUGCCUAGGAAUCUGCCUGGUAGUGGGGGACAACGUUUCGAAAGGAACGCUAAUACCGCAUACGUCCUACGGGAGAAAGCAGGGGACCUUCGGGCCUUGCGCUAUCAGAUGAGCCUAGGUCGGAUUAGCUAGUUGGUGAGGUAAUGGCUCACCAAGGCGACGAUCCGUAACUGGUCUGAGAGGAUGAUCAGUCACACUGGAACUGAGACACGGUCCAGACUCCUACGGGAGGCAGCAGUGGGGAAUAUUGGACAAUGGGCGAAAGCCUGAUCCAGCCAUGCCGCGUGUGUGAAGAAGGUCUUCGGAUUGUAAAGCACUUUAAGUUGGGAGGAAGGGUUGUAGAUUAAUACUCUGCAAUUUUGACGUUACCGACAGAAUAAGCACCGGCUAACUCUGUGCCAGCAGCCGCGGUAAUACAGAGGGUGCAAGCGUUAAUCGGAAUUACUGGGCGUAAAGCGCGCGUAGGUGGUUCGUUAAGUUGGAUGUGAAAUCCCCGGGCUCAACCUGGGAACUGCAUCCAAAACUGGCGAGCUAGAGUAUGGUAGAGGGUGGUGGAAUUUCCUGUGUAGCGGUGAAAUGCGUAGAUAUAGGAAGGAACACCAGUGGCGAAGGCGACCACCUGGACUGAUACUGACACUGAGGUGCGAAAGCGUGGGGAGCAAAC
rnacentral:rRNA from 1 species